CCUACGGGCGGCAGCAGUGGGGAAUAUUGGACAAUGGGGGGAACCCUGAUCCAGCCAUGCCGCGUGUGUGAAGAAGGCCCUCGGGUUGUAAAGCACUUUCAGUGAGGAAGAACGCCUGGUGGUUAAUACCCAUCAGGAAAGACAUCACUCACAGAAGUAGCACCGGCUAACUCCGUGCCAGCAGCCGCGGUAAUACGGAGGGUGCGAGCGUUAAUCGGAAUUACUGGGCGUAAAGCGCGCGUAGGUGGCUUGAUAAGCCGGUUGUGAAAGCCCCGGGCUCAACCUGGGAACGGCAUCCGGAACUGUCAAGCUAGAGUGCAGGAGAGGAAGGUAGAAUUCCCGGUGUAGCGGUGAAAUGCGUAGAGAUCGGGAGGAAUACCAGUGGCGAAGGCGGCCUUCUGGACUGACACUGACACUGAGGUGCGAAAGCGUGGGUAGCAAACAGGAUUAGAUACCCCUGUAGUC
rnacentral:rRNA from 1 species